rnacentral:rRNA from 1 species
UUAGCGGCGGACGGGUGAGUAACACGUAGGCAACCUGCCCCCAAGUUUGGGACAACUACCGGAAACGGUAGCUAAUACCGAAUAGUUGUUUUCUUCGCCUGAAGGAAACUGGAAAGACGGAGCAAUCUGUCACUUGGGGAUGGGCCUGCGGCGCAUUAGCUAGUUGGUGGGGUAACGGCUCACCAAGGCGACGAUGCGUAGCCGACCUGAGAGGGUGAUCGGCCACACUGGGACUGAGACACGGCCCAGACUCCUACGGGAGGCAGCAGUAGGGAAUCUUCCGCAAUGGGCGAAAGCCUGACGGAGCAAUGCCGCGUGAGUGAUGAAGGUUUUCGGAUCGUAAAGCUCUGUUGCCAGGG